AUUGAACGCUGGCAGCAUGCCUUACACAUGCAAGUCGAACGGCAGCACGGGGCAACCCGGUGGCGAGUGGCGAACGGGUGAGUAAUGCAUCGGAACGUACCUUUCAGUGGGGGAUAACGUAGCGAAAGUUACGCUAAUACCGCAUAUUCUGUGAGCAGGAAAGCAGGGGAUCGCAAGACCUUGCGCUGAUUGAGCGGCCGAUGUCGGAUUAGCUAGUUGGUGAGGUAAAGGCUCACCAAGGCGACGAUCUGUAGCGGGUCUGAGAGGAUGAUCCGCCCCACUGGAACUGAGACACGGUCCAGACUCCUACGGGAGGCAGCAGUGGGGAAUUUUGGACAAUGGGGGCAACCCUGAUCCAGCCAUGCCGCGUGAGUGAAGAAGGCCUUCGGGUUGUAAAGCUCUUUCGGCCGGGAAGAAAUCGCACGGGCUAAUACCCUGUGUGGAUGACGGUACCGGAAUAAGAAGCACCGGCUAACUACGUGCCAGCAGCCGCGGUAACAC
rnacentral:rRNA from 1 species